AACGAACGCUGGCGGCAGGCCUAACACAUGCAAGUCGAGCGCCCAGCAAUGGGAGCGGCGGACGGGUGAAUAACACGUGGGAAUAUGCCUUUCGGUACGGAAUAACGCAGGGAAACUUGCGCUAAUACCGUAUACGCCCUCAGGGGAAGGAUUAUCGCCGAAAGAUUAGCCCGCGUAGGAUUAGCUAGUUGGUGAGGUAACGGCCCACCAAGGCUACGAUCCUUAGCUGGUUUGAGAGAACGAUCAGCCACACUGGGACGUGAGACACGGCCCGAGACUCCUACGGGAGGGCAGCAGUGGGGGAAGUCUUGGACAAUAGGAGGGAAACUCUGAUCCAGCCAUGCCGCGUGAGUGAUGAA
rnacentral:rRNA from 1 species